GCAUCGAUGAAGAACGCAGCGAAAUGCGAUAAGUAAUGUAAAUUGCAGAAUUCAGUGAAUCAUCGAAUCUUUGAACGCACAUUGCGCCCGCCAGUAUUCUGGUGGGCAUGCCUGUUCGAGAGUCAUUUCAAUCCUCAAGCUCUGGCUUGGUGUUGGGGUUCUACGGCUCUUGUAGGCUCCAAAGACUAGUGGCGGGCUCGCUAUAACUCCGAGCGCAGUACAUGUAUCUCGCUUUGGAAGUGCGGUGGGUUCCAGCCGCAAAACGCCCCAACUCACAUGACAAGGUUGACCUCGUAUCAGGUAGGAAUACCCCGCUGAACUUAAGCAUAUCAAUAAGCGGAGGA
rnacentral:rRNA from 1 species